UUUAAUACUAUAAAAAGCAACCUCAUUGCAAGAAUGUUGGGAGCAGGAACCAGGGGUCCGGCAGUGAACGGGUGUGGAAAACCACACACUGAAGCUGGACCUCAACCAGUUCCUCAUCCUGCAGUAACCUCAGCCUUCUAGACAAAGCAUCGCGCUGAUAUGAACCUGGGAAUAGCUUCAUAACAUAAACAAAGAAGUUUCUCAUGGGCCCAGGAACAUGUUUACCUCCUGGGCUGCACAACAAAGAAGUUUCUCCUGGGCCCAAGAACAUGUUUACCUUGGCUGCAUGCACAAGAAAAGUGUCCUGAAGUGACUUGUACUGCUCUUUGUUUUGAAACACUAUAAAAACUCUGGAGUCCUCUAAUAAAUCGCCUUUUGCCUCCUGAGCAAUCGGUCUCCCUGCGUCUUCAGUCUCUUGCCUGACUCCUCCCCCGCGCUGGCCGCGGCGCCCCAACGUGGGGCUUGGAACACAAGCAUUCGGAGCGUUCUUCCAGUGGAAGGAGAAUCGGGAGUUUUGAGAAGACCGCUGCUACGAGGACCCGGGACAUAUUCGCAGUCACUCUAAUCUUCCAGGUGCUUUGACUCAUGGAAAUACAAUCGUAGAUCGAGCCACGCAUAUUGGACUGUCUGCUGUUUCGCAAGCACAAUAGUCACAUGCUCUUCAUCACCAAGCUGCACAGGUUUUACGUUAUCAAUAUGGUAUAACACGGUAGCAAGCACGAGAAAUUGUUAAAAAUUGUCCCUCGUGUGCGCCUCUCCUUCCAGUACCUCAUUUUGGAGUCAACCCUCCAGGACUCUGUCCAAACGACAUCUGGCAGAUGGAUGUCACUCAUUAUCCUUUUUUUGGGUCAUUAAAAUACCUACACGUUACCGUAGACACCUUUUCUCAUUACAUGCUUGUCUCACCUAUGACUGGAGAAACUGCCACCCAUGUAAUACAACACCUACUAUAUUGUUUCUCUAUCCUGGGCAUUCCUCGAUCCAUUAAAACUGAUAAUGGCCCAGCAUAUGUUAGUAAACCCUUUGCCAAAUUCUGUCAGACUUUCCAUAUUAAACAUGUUACUGGAUUACCUUAUAACCCUCAAGGACAGGGAAUUGUUGAACGUGCUAAUCUCUCACUAAAAAACACGUUAAAGAAAUUAAAAAGGGGGAGAUGGUAUAAGUAUUCUUCCAAAACCCUUCUUAACCAUGCUCUUUACAUUCUUAAUUUUUUAACUUUCAAUGCUUCCAAUAGAUCUGCAGCUGAGAGACAUUGGUCUCCUGAUUUGCCCUCCAAGCCAAUGGUUUAUUGCAAAGACCCAUUAACUAAUCUGUUACAUGGCCCUGACCCAGUAUUUGAUAUGGGGAAGAGGGUAUGUUUGUGUUUUUCCCACAGAUGCUGAUACACCCAGGUGGAUCCCAGAACAUUGUGUACGACAUGCCCAAGAGCAAGAUAGAAAAACUGGGCAGGAAGAUGCUUCGACUAACCAUGACCUCGAGGACCAGAACAACGACCAGCAGGCCUCCUGCAACAAGAGAUGAAACCCUUCUGUUUUUGGCUCAAUUGCUAAGCAUUAUUUGGGUUUUGCAUGCAUUUCAAACGCCUGUGUGGGUGGAUAAUUAUGGGGCAUUUGUACCUAAUCCUCCUUUGUUGCACCCUAUGUCAUAGGGCGACAAUGAUGAUGUUACCGUUUAUGUAAAUAAUACUCGGGUCUUAAGUUUUCCUUCUUCCGCUCAUAUACAACCUAUCUCUAUUGUAUAUAAUUACGCUGGAAUGUCUGCUUCAUUACCCCCUAUGUUUUUCUAAAACAAAUAAGAAUUGUACAUUAAUAGAAAGAUACUCUGAUUGGGAUGGAAACUUUACUAAUGGAACGCACUGGGGAGUAGAUAUGAUGUAUGUAUUUCGCAACAGUAGUGACACUAGAGUGGGAAAAGGCAAUCCCCCUGAGCAUAUUCCAGAAUGUAGACAAAAAUACCCAAGCAAAAGUGCAUAUGGACCCUCAUGGCGUUUGUGCCAUCAUAAUUAUACUAUAUGUUACAAAGAUCUAUGUGAUUGGAACUCUAGCAUUUAUCGCCAUGAUAACGAUUUUUCCAUAUCUUGUGAGAGUUGUUGUUGGGCAAAUGAGAAAUGUGCGUCAGGACUUGAAACGUUUUAAGUUAGAAUCAACUGCUAGUGAAAUUCCCAUGCGACGCUUUGUCUGAGAAAAAAGGGGGAUAUGUUGGGAGCAGGAACCAGGAGUCCAGCAGUGAACGGGUGUGGAAAACCACACACUGAAGCUGGACCUCAACCAGUUCCUCAUCCUGCAGUAACCUCAGCCUUCUAGACAAAGCAUCGCACUGAUAUUAACCUGGGAAUAGCUUCAUAACAUAAACAAAGAAGUUUCUCAUGGGCCCAGGAACAUGUUUACCUUUGCUGUAUGCACAAGAAAGUGUCCUGAAGUGACUUGUACUGCUCUUUGUUUUGAAACACUAUAAAAACUCUGGAGUCCUCUAAUAAAUUGCCUUUUGCUUCCUGA